CGAGAAUCGGCAAUUCACCGUGAUAAUUCUUUCAUUCAAGAAAGCUUAUUAUCUAACCGUCGGACAUGCAAGAUGACCGGGGAAAUUUAGACAAUAAAACUUUAAUGUCCGAAAAGAAAAACCGGUCUUCUUCCAAGAAUCCUGAAAAUAAAACAAGAAAAACAAGAAAAAUAUAAGUCGAUAUAUUUAACAGAUUAUAUUAAAAUAUUCCCACAAUCAUGAUAACUCAUGAUUGAGACAAUUAAGCUCUUAAUUAAGGCAUAAUAAUAAAAUAUUAUUGUCCUUAAUUAAGACACAAUUAACACCUUCAAAUAAGGCAAACGCCCUCAAUAAAGAGGCAUAAUUUACGCCCUCAAAGGCACAAUUAACGCCCUCAAUUAGGAGGCACAAGUAACGCCCUCAAUUAAGGCACAAUUAGUGCUUUCCAUUCUGAAACCGAAUCUCAUCCCGAAACCGUCGUCGCCGUCACCGCAACCAUCGGCCUCCACCGCUAUGCUGUCGGUCAGGUUGCCUCGUCGUAUGCGAAAUGAACAACGAAGCGUCUCAUUUGUAACACGAAAAAUCGCCAAAAACACCAAAAACCAAACAAAACACAAGGAUUAAACAAACAAACAAAUACUCACAAACAAACAAGAUUAAAGUCAACACAUCUUCACAAUUCCACUCAAAAUAAAUCAGAAAAUGAAAGUAGCAAACCGUAGUUUAUUUAACUGAACUAACAUGUGUAUAUUCAUAUGGUGGUGAGAAAGUUAUUAUAUUACUAUCAUUCAAACACGACAAAUCACAUGAAUAUCACCGCAACGAACCCCAGUAAUAAAUUAAAUGCAGACAGUAAAACAUCAAUCAAAAAAUAAUAAUCUCGAUGAUAAUAAACUCAAUGAGGAUCAAACACUAUAAAAUACAAUGCAGAAUCAAAAACACGUGUUGAGUUGAAUGAAGCAAAGAGAAGAAAACCUGAUUGGAGCCGAAACGACAGUGAAUGCGAAAAGACUCUAGGGUAGAAUGAGACUCUAGGACAGUGCUGAUUUAAUCCUGUCCGGUUGCUGUCCCGAUUUCGGAAUGCGAGAAAUCAUCCAUU
rnacentral:lncRNA from 1 species